UACAGUGGUCUCAACCGUUGUUCGGAUUCAUUGGGCGUAAAGGGUGCGUAGGCGGCACUAUAAGUCAGAUGUGAAAUCCCCGGGCUCAACCCGGGAACUGCACUUGAUACUGUAGGGCUUGAGGGCCGGAGAGGAGAUUGGAAUUUACGGUGUAGCAGUGAAAUGCGUAGAUAUCGUAAGGAAGACCAGUGGCGAAGGCGAAUCUCUGGACGGCUUCUGACGCUGAGGCACGAAGGCUAGGGGAGCAAACGGG
rnacentral:rRNA from 1 species